rnacentral:lncRNA from 1 species
CUUCCAAAGCAUUGUCAGCAAACAACUCUUGUAACAAGUUACGUCUCUGAGUUGGAGAAGCUAGUGCCUGCCCUUGUAACAAGUUACGUCUCUGAGUUGGAGAAGCUAGUGCCUGCCCUUGUCAUUAAAAACAUCACGUAAUUUUUAGCAAAAAUAUAUAUAUAUAUAUAUAUAUAUAUAUAUCAAUUCUUGAUUUUGGAACACUUGAAAAUCAGAAUACAUACAAUUUCCUUAUUGAUUUUGGAACACUUGAAAAUCAGAAUACAUACAAUUUCCUUAAUCCUUUCAGUGAACAAAAGAAUCCCAAGAAAAAGGAACUCGAUUUCAACAGUGAGAGCGUUCAGAUAAGCUGAGCUACCAGUUCCGGGCGUGGGUGAACUUGUCUUUUCCAUUUCUUUAUAUAAUUACACUAUUUUAACAAUCUUCAGCCAUUUCAUUUGAUUUGAUCCAAAAAUCGCCGACCGUCCCUCCCUCCCUCCCAAGCCUGAUGAAUAAAUUCCGAUCCAAGCAAACGACCAAACAAAUUCUAAUGGUUUAAAAUUAAAGAAGAAGCUUCUUCCUCCUGUUGUCGAGAAUCCAAUUCAAUAAUGUACACCGGAGCAGUUUUUUCUUUUUGUUUGUGUUUUUUUAAAAUAGAAAUAUAAAUAUUGGCUGUGUCAUUGUUUCGGUCUUACCGAGACCGUCACUAAGUUACGAUAAUGAUAAUAUUAGAAGGAUAAAGAGAGUUACAUAUCAAAAUUGGUCCUCUUAGUUUGUUAGCUAAGUCAUUUAGAUCCACAACUUUUUCUCCUCUUGCUAUAGUUUACGAGAAGGCAAUAAUGUUACUGAAUAAGCAAAAUUUGGCACUAAAGUAGUAAGUUAUGGACUGAUUUAAGAAUAUAAG